GGUUAAGCGACUAAGCGUACACGGUGGAUGCCCUGGCAGUCAGAGGCGAUGAAGGACGUGCUAAUCUGCGAAAAGCGCCGGCGAGGUGAUAUGAACCCUUGACCCGGCGAUGUCCGAAUGGGGAAACCCAGUGCAAUCCGUUGCACUAUCGUUAGCUGAAUACAUAGGCUAACGAGGCGAACCGGGGGAACUGAAACAUCUAAGUACCCCGAGGAAAAGAAAUCAACCGAGAUUCCCCCAGUAGCGGCGAGCGAACGGGGAGCAGCCCGGAGUCUGAAUCAGCUUGUGUGUUAGUGGAAGCGUCUGGAAAGUCGCAGGGUACAGGGUGAUACUCCCGUACACGAAAGCACACAUGCUGUGAACUCGAAGAGUAGGGCGGGACACGUGGUAUCCUGUCUGAAUAUGGGGGACCAUCCUCCAAGGCUAAAUACUCCUGACUGACCGAUAGUGAACCAGUACCGUGAGGGAAAGGCGAAAAGAACCCCGGCGAGGGGAGUGAAAAAGAACCUGAAACCGUGUACGUACAAGCAGUGGGAGCACCUUCGGGUGUGACUGCGUACCUUUUGUAUAAUGGGUCAGCGACUUAUAUUCUGUAGCAAGGUUAACCGUAUAGGGGAGCCGAAGGGAAACCGAGUCUUAACUGGGCGUUAAGUUGCAGGGUAUAGACCCGAAACCCGGUGAUCUAGCCAUGGGCAGGUUGAAGGUUGGGUAACACUAACUGGAGGACUCGAACCGACUAAUGUUGAAAAAUUAGCGGAUGACCUGUGGCUGGGGGUGAAAGGCCAAUCAAACCGGGAGAUAGCUGGUUCUCCCCGAAAGCUAUUUAGGUAGCGCCUCGUGAACUCAUCUCCGGGGGUAGAGCACUGUUUCGGCUAGGGGGCCAUCCCGGCUUACCAACCCGAUGCAAACUGCGAAUACCGGAGAAUGUUAUCACGGGAGACACACGGCGGGUGCUAACGUCCGUCGUGAAGAGGGAAACAACCCAGACCGCCAGCUAAGGUCCCAAAGUCAUGGUUAAGUGGGAAACGAUGUGGGAAGGCACAGACAGCCAGGAUGUUGGCUUAGAAGCAGCCAUCAUUUAAAGAAAGCGUAAUAGCUCACUGGUCGAGUCGGCCUGCGCGGAAGAUGUAACGGGGCUAAACCAUGCACCGAAGCUGCGGCAGCGACACUAUGUGUUGUUGGGUAGGGGAGCGUUCUGUAAGCCUGCGAAGGUGUGCUGUGAGGCAUGCUGGAGGUAUCAGAAGUGCGAAUGCUGACAUAAGUAACGAUAAAGCGGGUGAAAAGCCCGCUCGCCGGAAGACCAAGGGUUCCUGUCCAACGUUAAUCGGGGCAGGGUGAGUCGACCCCUAAGGCGAGGCCGAAAGGCGUAGUCGAUGGGAAACAGGUUAAUAUUCCUGUACUCGGUGUUACUGCGAAGGGGGGACGGAGAAGGCUAUGUUGGCCGGGCGACGGUUGUCCCGGUUUAAGCAUGUAGGCGGAGGUUCCAGGUAAAUCCGGUACCUUGUUAACGCUGAGGUGUGAUGACGAGGCACUACGGUGCUGAAGCAACAAAUGCCCUGCUUCCAGGAAAAGCCUCUAAGCAUCAGGUAACACCAAAUCGUACCCCAAACCGACACAGGUGGUCAGGUAGAGAAUACCAAGGCGCUUGAGAGAACUCGGGUGAAGGAACUAGGCAAAAUGGUGCCGUAACUUCGGGAGAAGGCACGCUGAUAUGUAGGUGAAGCCCCUGCGGGUGGAGCUGAAAUCAGUCGAAGAUACCAGCUGGCUGCAACUGUUUAUUAAAAACACAGCACUGUGCAAACACGAAAGUGGACGUAUACGGUGUGACGCCUGCCCGGUGCCGGAAGGUUAAUUGAUGGGGUCAGCGGCAACGCGAAGCUCUUGAUCGAAGCCCCGGUAAACGGCGGCCGUAACUAUAACGAUCCUAAGGUAGCGAAAUUCCUUGUCGGGUAAGUUCCGACCUGCACGAAUGGCGUAAUGAUGGCCAGGCUGUCUCCACCCGAGACUCAGUGAAAUUGAAAUCGCUGUGAAGAUGCAGUGUACCCGCGGCAAGACGGAAAGACCCCGUGAACCUUUACUAUAGCUUGACACUGAACACUGGUCCUGAUGUGUAGGAUAGGUGGGAGGCUUUGAAGCGUGGACGCCAGUCUGCGUGGAGCCGUCCUUGAAAUACCACCCUUUAAUGGCUGGUGUUCUAACGUAGACCCGUAAUCCGGGUUGCGGACAGUGUCUGGUGGGUAGUUUGACUGGGGCGGUCUCCUCCUAAAGAGUAACGGAGGAGCACGAAGGUCAGCUAAUCCUGGUCGGACAUCAGGAGGUUAGUGCAAUGGCAUAAGCUGGCUUGACUGCGAGAGUGACGGCUCGAGCAGGUGCGAAAGCAGGUCAUAGUGAUCCGGUGGUUCUGUAUGGAAGGGCCAUCGCUCAACGGAUAAAAGGUACUCCGGGGAUAACAGGCUGAUACCGCCCAAGAGUUCAUAUCGACGGCGGUGUUUGGCACCUCGAUGUCGGCUCAUCACAUCCUGGGGCUGAAGUAGGUCCCAAGGGUAUGGCUGUUCGCCAUUUAAAGUGGUACGCGAGCUGGGUUUAGAACGUCGUGAGACAGUUCGUAUCCCUAUCUGCCGUGGGCGCUGGAGAAUUGAGGGGGGCUGCUCCUAGUACGAGAGGACCGGAGUGGACGCAUCACUGGUGUUCGGGUUGUCAUGCCAAUGGCACUGCCCGGUAGCUAAAUGCGGAAGAGAUAAGUGCUGAAAGCAUCUAAGCACGAAACUUGCCCCGAGAUGAGUUCUCCCUGAGCCUUUAAGGCUCCUGAAGGAACGUUGAAGACGACGACGUUGAUAGGCCGGGUGUGUAAGCGCAGCGAUGCGUUGAGCUAACCGGUACUAAUGAACCGUGAGGCUUAACCUU
rnacentral:rRNA from 1 species